AUGUGUUUGGGCAUCCCAUUGGUCGACAGUAGGACCCUGCUGAUGGAGUUGGAAUUACUUAUCACACAACCGGCAGAACAUUUUCCCAUGCUGCAACCCAAACCCCCAUGGUCACCUCUUUUCCCACCAAAAAUUCCUACAGAAUUCAGAAGCUAUAUGCGAACUAAUUCAGAGUUUCUGCGUCUCACUGGUGUUCUUUGGGAAUUGACUCAAUCUUGGCCCUUUACUCAUCAUGUCAGUACCUUGUCAAGCUAUUGGCGGUGCUUCUCUUGGGGACCAGGUCCCAUGACUACUCUGUUUUGGUUGGCCCAUAUCAUCGCCGAAAAGUUACAAGAAGGGUUGCCAUGUAUUUCUGAGAGCUCUACUAUCUGCGGUGGUUUGCGUGCAAUGAGACCCAUAACUGAAGAUUACAUCGCAACUUUUAUCCUGAGGUGGCAAUUCAUACAAUCAGUUCAAUCAGCAACUUCAUGUGUGCAGUGGGAUCCAGGAGGAUUUGAUUUUGUUGAACUAGCGGCGAACAGGCACCGGCUCGGCAGAUAUACAGAACUUCAAGACUCCUGUUCUCCUUCCUGGCUAGCUGAUGGCACCUCACAUAUGCUCAAAUUGCAUCUGCAAGACACAAACUUCGAGGAACUAGCGGCUAACUGGCACCGGCUUGAGGGCAAGCCGGUUGUUAAGGAGGAGGGGAUGUCAGCGACCCAAAGUACCGCCGCGGCCACAUCAACUGAAGGCGCUACCAUGGUAGCCCAAACUGCUGCCAUGGCAGCGAAACCAACGGCAACACAAACUGGAGAGCCAAGGCAGCGAGCCCACCAACACAUGGGCCGGGCCGGACAAGUUGUUACUCCCAGGGCAGGCAGACUACAAGUACCCAGCCAAGACGCAGCGAACGGGCAUCCGGGCUUGGAUCACGAACGGCAACGGCGGCUUCCUCUUUUCCCUGUCAUCUCCUACCUCCUGUACUCUCCCUCCUCCUCAACCUCUUGUAGCUGA
rnacentral:rRNA from 1 species